rnacentral:misc_RNA from 1 species
ACAAACUUGGUCAUUUAGAGGAAGUAAAAGUUGUAACAAAGUUUUCAUAGGUGAACCUGCGAAAGGAUCAUUACUGAAGAAAUGAUAGAGUUAAGCUGACUCCUCUGGAGUAUAUGCUUGCACUAUCACUUUUUCUAUUCUCCCUUGUGAACCUUUUGUAGACUUUUUAUGAUAUUUGGCUUCUUGACCGGGAGUUUUAUUGGAGACUUAUAUUUUUUUUGAGGUGCUUGGCUCUACCCUUAUCAUAUCAGUCUAUGAUCUUAUAUCUACUUUUCAGUUUAUAAAUGUCUCUUUGUUGGUGUUUUAAUAUCAAUAAAUUAUUAUACAACUUUCAGCAACAGAUCUCUUAGCUCUUGCAUCGAUGAAGAACGCAGC